GGGGCCUUAGCUCAGCUGGGAGAGCGCUGCUUUGCACGCAGGAGUCAGCGGUUCGAUCCCGCUAGGCUCCA
rnacentral:tRNA from 1 species